GUAAAGCGUAACACACCCCUGUUCACAGUAGCCUUGUGUUAACGAGACGACCCAUCCCUAGCUUGCAGCGUUUGAAUUCUACCAUUUCUAGUGUGAAUAUCGUUUAUCAAAGCUUUUAAAGGAGAGUUUGGUUGUACACCCACUCAGUUGGGUUCUUGUAAAUCUGUCAGACUAUGGCGUAAUCAAACUCCAUAACUAAGGCUCACUGUCAUUUGGCUGCAAAGUUUUCCUUCUUACCCAAUGCUUUUGCAUUUUAGACUUCCGAGGGCGCCGGAAAUCUAAAAGUUAUAUCAUCAGAUCAACAAUCAACCAAGUAGCUCAUGAACAAGGAAUGGAUGUUCCAUAUUAAACCUUCAACAGGAAAUUGCCUAGGUUCUUCAUAGUCAGGCGACAUAUUCCAGCGUACUUGUAGCAUUAAAUUUCCUGUCGACUGAUCUGAAGACUGUGUUAAAACUUCCCAUUUCAUCUUCUUUUCGACAGUUCGUCAGUAGAUAGAAAAGGACUAGCUAUAUUUGCUCCUAGCUAUAGCUGAUAGCUAUAAGCUAUAUUUGAGUCCUUGUAUACGCAAAUGAGAGACGGAGAUAGUGGGGUCAGUAAUGCACAAGAUUCCAUAAUCGGCCAAAAGCUGCCACAAAAUCUAUUUAGACCGAGUCAUCACUUACGUUCUAGCAAGCGUGACUCUUAUAGUUUAUUUAAUACCAGAAUAUCACUGUGUAUUAUUGGGUUGAUUCGAAAAUGGCUUUAUCGUCACCUUGAAUGAGAACUGCGUCAAGGAGGAGACCGUGCUGGAAUGCACCUUGUUGUUUGUUAGCCGAUCUUAUUUCCUUUCUUGCCAGUACCAGCUCUGGUUUUAAACUCACUCCAAAAGUAUUUUGUUGUUAUUCACCUUCCGAAUCGCACGGAUACCGGCGCUCGUCGUUGGCAUUUGUUUGCCGGCCUACAACCAAGGUUUCUUAAUCUUCUUCGGCGUCUCUUUUACAUUUCUUUCACUUGGCUCGUUGUGUUCUAAAUCUGUUCGAGGGGGGGCGGAUGUUGCAGUAGCCAAAGAUUGUGACGUCUUUAGUUUGAGUCAUGUGAUUCGAGAGCUGCCGAACGAUCCUCCCGUGCGCUGAGGAAGAAAAGGAUCCAAUUUUAUCUCUGGCAAAGUUUCCGUGACUUAUUUUACAUCUUCGUACAGCGGUCAGAUCUGCGUUUGCCUUUCCCCCAAAAGUCGUUGAAGUUGAUAGAACUUCUUCUCGCCCUCGUCUUUAUCGCCGAUGAUAACGCCGUUUUGUGUUAAGCAGUUUUAUCUCAUACGUGUCACGUUUACUGUUGAUUGGAUCGGUGCACCGAGAGAUAACGGCUUCAUACGUGAAUUUUCCCUUAUGACCU